GCCUGGGUGGCUCAGUCGGUUGAGCAUCCGACUUCGGCUCAGGUCAUGAUCUCACAGUCUGUGGGUUCGAGCCCCGCGUCAGGCU
rnacentral:tRNA from 1 species